rnacentral:rRNA from 1 species
GGGGGGGGGGGGGGGGGGGGGGGGGGGGGGGGGGGGGGGGGGGGGGGGGGUGCGGGGGGGGGGGGCUCGCGUGGGGGGGGGGGGGGUGGCGCGGGGGUGCCGUGGCCUUGACUUGGGGAUAACUUCAGGAAACGGGGGCUAGUACCGGAUAGGCGCUCCUGCUGCCGGGGGGGGGUUGGAAAGUGUCGGCGGUUGGGGAUGGAUUCGCGGCUUAUCAGCUUGUUGGUGGGGUAGUGGCGUACCAAGGCUCUGACGGGUAGCCGGCCUGGGAGGGUGGCCGGCCACAUUGGGACUGAGAUACGGCCCAGACUCCUACGGGAGGCAGCAGUGGGGAAUAUUGCACAAUGGGCGGAAGCCUGAUGCAGCAACGCCGCGUGCGGGAUGACGGCCUUCGGGUUGUAAACCGCUUUCGCCUGUGACGAAGCGUGAGUGACGGUAAUGGGUAAAGAAGCACCGGCUAACUACGUG